rnacentral:rRNA from 1 species
UACAGAGGUCUCAAGCGUUGUUCGGAUUCAUUGGGCGUAAAGGGUGCGUAGGUGGCGCGCUAAGUCAGGUGUGAAAUUUCGGAGCUUAACUCCGAAACUGCAUUUGAUACUGGCGUGCUUGAGGACUGGAGAGGAGACUGGAAUUCAUGGUGUAGCAGUGAAAUGCGUAGAGAUCAUGAGGAAGACCAGUGGCGAAGGCGGGUCUCUGGGCUGACACUGACGCUCAUGCACGAAAGCGUGGGGAGCAAACAGG